GACGAACCGUGCGAACGUUGUUCGGAAUCACUGGGCUUAAAGGGCGCGUAGGCGGUCAAUCAAGUCGGGGGUGAAAUCUUGCAGCUUAACUGUAAAAGUGCCUUCGAUACUGACUGACUUGAGGGAGGUAGGGGCAGGUGGAACUUCCAGUGGAGCGGUGAAAUGUGUUGAUAUUGGAAGGAACGCCGGUGGCGAAAGCGACCUGCUGGAUCUCUACUGACGCUGAGACGCGAAAGCUAGGGGAGCAAACGGG
rnacentral:rRNA from 1 species